AUUUUUGACGGUGGUUUGAACAAGGUGGAUGAAGGUUAUGGUGGAAGGCGGUGUUGAUGGACGGUGAAGGAUGAGGGAACGAAGGGUUUUUCUGUGAGGGAGAAAAGAGAGAAAUGUGAGUGAUGAGUGUUUGUGUGGAGGUGCGUUGGAGAUGAAGAGGAAAAGUCCUCUUCUUGUUUUCUUUCUUUCUUCGUUUUUUGUACAGAGAGAGUGAGUGAGUAUGUGGUAAACGUGAGGGAGAGUGAGAGAAAGCCGUUUUUUAUUUACUCCUUUUUAUUUUUUUUAUAAUUACUAUUAUUAUUAAUUCAUUCUUUUAUUGGUGAAUAAAGAUGCACAUGGAUAGCUAACAUGGACCGUUGAUUACUUAUGAUUUAAUGGUUGAGAUCCAUUGAAAGAAACACACAUUGCAACCAACCUUUAAAAUGCCCAAAAUGCCCCUCUCAGAUGAUUUAAUUGAUUUAGA
rnacentral:lncRNA from 1 species